GCCAUCCACCUUCUCCACAGAAUGUUUUCAAGCAGGGAGUUUAUUUAUAUGUUAAACUUAAAACCAAAAAAGGGAACUUCUGUUUGCAAAUGCAACUACUCAGGAUGUGACUGUAGUUCCCCAGUACAGUCACAUGACCCACUUUAUUUUUUUUAAAAAAGGCACUGCAGAAGAGCUAAAUUCAGAAAAUUUGGCUGAAACCACUCUGUUGUCAAAACUUCACGAUGAACUUACUAACAAGCUGGAUAUCAGUCCUAAUGGCAUUUCUUCUUCUCUUACAUUUUUGGAGAGCAAAGGUCUAUGCUUCUGGAAACUCAGAGGACGAAAUAGAUUUCACGUAUGUUAUUAUAGGAGUUACUCUGGGAGCAAUUCUAGCAAUCGGUUUUGUAGCAGUAAUAAUCUGCUUGAUCAAAAAACAGAUGAUUGACAUUGGAGGUCAAACAUGGGAUCAAGCCAAAACAGAGACGACGUCAACGUACUUGGAAAACAAAGUACAAAUGAUCAAUAACCCUUUUGCGAUCAACAGUUACCUGCUCUGAGGAUCAAUAGAAGUCUCUUGAGCACAGGCAGGAGUCUCACCAACACCGAUUCCUUUCUUUGUUCUUUAAUUGAAAGACUGAUUGAUUGAUUACAGGAGGAGCUCAUAGUGCAUGCUAACUUCAAUCACCUGCACACAAAAAUCCUCAACAGCAUGUACCUGAAGGAAAUGUAUGAGGAAAACAAAAGAGAUGAGCUCUCCUCAUGAAUAGAUCCUGUUUAGCCUCUGACAAGUAUAUGUUUGAUUUCUAAAAUCAGUUAAAUACAGGGUAAUCAAAAAGGCAGUAAUACACUUCAGCAGCAGAAUUCAUGUGUUUCGAGAUAGGUAAAUAGUGACUGAAGUAACUUGAAAAAUCAUUCAUUUGAGGUUGAAGCAAAAUAAGGCUUCCCUUUUUUUUUUUUUUCAGGAAAUGUAUGUCUUGUGUUAAUAGGAAAACAUUUCAUUCACACUAAAGUUAUCUCUUUUAGCUUUAGGACUGAUGUCUUUUGUUUAACUGUAGGUGGUAGUGCUAAUUUCAGACAUUUAAAAUGAAUUGUGGUCAUUUAAAAUGAAAAAGUCCUUUUUGAAAGAAUGUUUUCCAUGUUUUGUUUUUAGAACAUGGAAAUGAAAACAGUUUUGCAUACUCAAAAAGUUUCUGGAGAUCUGAAACAAAACAUUUCACGUCAACAUUCUACAACCAAGCUAACCUAUUUCCAAAAUUCGCCCAACUCUGUUUUUCCUUAGCAUAAAACAGGGCAUUGAGUUCUCCCAACCCCUUCAUUCUUGUUCUAGCCUUAUACAUUCUGUUGAAUUUGAUGUCAUCAGAAUUGCUUUGCCUGGCUCCAAUUACAAGCUUCUUACAGCGGGAGUGACAACAAGAAAAAUUAGAGCUUUGUCUCAAAACAUUUAAAAUAGUUUAAAUAAUUUUAAAUGGUUUAAACCCAAGUUAUUUUGUAAACACAUCCCAGCUUUUACCAGACCUGUGAGCCUGUGGCUUCUGUCCCAAUUCAGAAAAUAAUGCUGUAGAUUCUAUUCUGUUUAAUCCCCUUCUUUAGAGAAUGCCGUGUUAUACAGAUGUUGUCAUCACAAGGUGCAUGAAAAACAGGAAGAUUUUGGUGUUUCAAGCCAGGCUUUCCUUUCAGCUUGGGGAAACAGGGCAGCAAAUGGCAUGCACGAUGUUAAUUAAUGGCAGAAUUAACAGGCAUAGCUGUUAUGCUACACUAUUCCAUUGCAACUUACAAAGAACCACUAUCCAGAUGCAAAGACCACAGGCUGGAAAUAGAUUGGAUCUUCCUAAACGUUUAGCUCAGGCCGAUGUCUAUAGACAUAUGGAUGUUUUUAAUUUCUCAUCUGACUUGCAUUCCUAAAGUUAACUUUCAAACCAGUGUCUGCUCUUAGUUAUGCCAUGUGACAGAUCAUAAUAAAGAAAGUUCUUUCCAGUUCUUCA
rnacentral:lncRNA from 1 species